GAAGAGUCACUCCUUAUCUGUCAGAAUGAGCUGAAAACUCAUCCUGUCAAAAUAUAUUUCACACACCCGCUCUUUCCUACCCAGAUUUUUCUCCCUGUAUCUGCUCUUCUUUAGCAGAAAGGCCCAAAAUGUUGAUGAGUGAGAUGGCGCGCUGCUCUGAGGCGAUAUCUUUUGCUACCUUCAAACAGAAAUCAUGGAGCUAUAUUUCCCAAGUGAGAAAUGACAUCCAGGCAGUUUAGGCUGUGCGAGCAGAGAGACUGAUGAAGUGGGAUGUCUGAAAGUUGAAAUGAUGGAUACCUUUAGUCCAAGUCGGAACAAAGGACCAAGAUCCACAAAGACAGAAGCAGCAAACCUUGUGGAUCUUAACUUAACAGGUAAACGUCUCCCCUGUCUCCCCCUCCAAGAUUGCCAGGUUUUCUUCUGGAUGCUCAUCACAGCUCUACAAAGAAAUACAGUCUGGAAAUUAAAAGAGGAUAUUUCCUUAACAAAAAUAAGCUGUUGGGGAAAUAUCUGCUCAGUCUAGUGUGUUUGGAACGCUGAAACCUGGCAUUAUGUCUUUCAUUUAAUAAAGACUAGAUUUUCCUAACAUCUCUUCCAGCUUCAUUACUUUAAGAAGGGAUGUCUUUAAAGCAAGUAUGAAGAGAUAAACAAUAACAGCAGCCAAAUGCGAUGCUUAAAGGCAGAUUUUUAUUUAAUCCCAAACCAGACCCGCCUGUGAAUGCUAAGUUUUACUGAACGAUCUGUUUUUUCUGAAGCAUUUAAUGCGACACGUCACUGACCAUGUGCUGUGAGUCAUUUGACACUAACUGAGAAGUUUGCUUUAAACAUGAAAGAUCUAGCCUUUGGGGUAAUGUGAUACUUAGUGUAAAAAGAUUAUUCACAGCUUGAAGUUUUGCCAGGCAGAUUUGGGGAUUGUAAUACUGCAGAAUGAAUAGGUGUGUAAUUAUGCUUCUUUGGCCCCAGUGCUUUUAUUUUUCACAUGGACUUCUGGCCCGAGCACGGCCUUCGUGGAUGACAUUUAUGUAGUUAAAGUGAAAUCUGAGUGCUAGAAGCCCGCUCUUCCUCCGUGUUUGAUCAGCUUGUUUAAAAUCCCUCAGCACACGGAGCAAAGGUGCCAGAUUUCUCUUGACAUUUUGGUUUGAUGACUGACAGCGGACUGGCAAUGUUGGCCAUUUAAUGAGAUUUAUCCAGAAAGGCCAAUCUGCUGAUCCGCAGCGAUGCAGUGGCAUUUCUCUCACUAUAGAUUGAUCGAUAAGUAGCCAGACCUUCCCCCAAAGGCUAAACAUUAAAACAAAAACACAGCAAAUGCUGACUUUAGAUGAAACUGCUCACUGGAUCAAAACAACCUUUUUUCCCCUCUUCCUCCCAACAGACUGGGUUAAAUGCUUGAAAUAUUCACAAAAAUUAAAAUGCAAAUGUAAAAUGCUCUAUUAUAAUCUGAGGUCUGCUGUGUGUUGUUCUUCCAAAUCAUUGUGGAGCUGUAUCAGAUGAAAAAGAUAAAAACAUUUUAAACUACUGAAUUGUCUCCUACGUAAAAUCGAGCUGCUGUGCUGAACUUCUCAUUGAAUUUAAAUAGUGCGAGGAGUAUUUAAGUGUUUUAUUAAUAUUAUGCAUAUGAGCAGAUUUAAUAUGCACACAGAGGCUGUAUACUUGUUUGCUCAACGAGAGCCAGCUGUGCAGAUAUCUUCUAUAUGCUAGCUAGCAGACGCAGCACAUGAAAAAAUAGAAAUGAUCUGCUUGUUCACUGCAUUUUCAUUUUCUUUCACACUCAGAAAAAAGCUUCACUAUUAUUAAUAAACCAAACACAAAUUAAUUUUGAUGUUCUUGUACAUAUUUGACUGGGUAUUAGAGUAAAACUUUGGGGCAGUUAGCUUUGCAGACAGCAGUAUGACACUCUACACACUUGCACAUAGUACGAUAUACAACAUACAGACAAACAGCGCCACAUUUGCUGGUUUCUAUUAGUGCAGCACCCUCUGGCAUGUCCUUUUUUAUACACAGCUUUAAAAAUGCACUUAUUAAUUGUCACUCUAUAGUAGGUUUUUGUUAAGCGUGACCAGCAUGGACAGCUCAGUCUGAGCAGUUUGGAGACAGAGUUAGAGAAACUGUUGAGACAUGUGCAGAGGAGGGAUAGUGGAUAUAUUGGACAAAGCAUGUUGAAUAUAGAGCUGUCAGGCAGAAGGAAAAGAGGAAGAUGCAGAAAAGACUCAAGGAUAGUGAAGGAGGACAAGCAGAUGGCUGGUGUGACAUUAGAGGAUACCAGGGAGAGUGUGAGAUGAGAACCCUUAAAGCUGUGAAGGUCUACUUGUGACAACCGGAGGC
rnacentral:lncRNA from 1 species